CUGGACAUGGCCAAGGCCAGUUUCAUAGCAUCCUCCAACAUUAAAAAAAAAAAAAAAAACUGUGACACCGUGGGUUUAAAAUCUAGCCUACAUUAUCUUUAAUAACAAACCAGCUUCAAAAUAUCAAGCAGCCAAGAAUGUUGAGACAAACAGAGACCAUGGAGGAUAAAAGUGUUUCUAACUUUAAAAUGAUUCCCUCUGUUCUAUGGACCUGGAAGAAACUGACUUAAACAAGCUUAAAGUUUUAGGAAAAGGAAGGGUAUGCCUAAG